UACGGAGGGUGCGAGCGUUGUCCGGAAUCACUGGGCGUAAAGGGCGCGUAGGUGGCCUGUGGAAGUCUGCGGUGAAAGCCCGGCGCUCAACGCCGGGUCGGCCGUGGAUACUCUCGGGCUCGAGCUUACUAGAGGCAGAUGGAAUUCCGGGUGUAGCGGUGGAAUGCGUAGAGAUCCGGAAGAACACCGGUGGCGAAGGCGACACGCUGGGCCGUACCUGACACUGAACCGCGACAGCAUGGGGAGCAAACAGG
rnacentral:rRNA from 1 species